UAGAAACUGGGUAUUGAUCUCUGAAAAAUUUUAAUACCGUCGUGCUGGUAUAAUCACGCAAUCACGAAUGGGUAUUAAAAUUUUGCGAAAAAUCAAUACCACGAGCUUGUACGUGGAGAGUAUUAACUUGUAAUACCGAGUUGGUAAAACAUCAAUACUGACUGGUACAGAUUUUAUACCACGUUUACCCAGUCUCAAAUCAGUCCGGUAUAGAUUUGUGCGCGAGAUUUGCAAUGUAAUCACCUCACACUUGCAGUUGCAAAUCGUUCUCUUUUUAAAAAUAAGUGCUUCUAAAUUAUUUCGGCUAGGGAAUUAUUUGAGGGGAAGAAAUUGACUAUUCCGCUGGAAACUUUGACACGUUCUUAUUAAAGGCGAGAUCAUCAACUUAGCCAAUUCCGAGUUCCGGUCGUGCAUAUAGGAUUCCGGAUAAUUUUAGUUGGAUAUUUCCUAUCGAAUUAGGAGUAAAAUAACUUUAAAUUGAAAAAUAUAUAAAAAUAACUGCCUCAAAGUGUGAAUUAUUUACACAAUUUAUUGUUUAAAUUGCUUGUGCGUUUAGAACCAGUCAGCUCAACUCUUCCACAUUAUUGUUUGUGAGCCAGUUUCAUAAUUAAGUUAUUCCAUUAUAUUCCAUCCAGUUGAUUUCCAUUUUUUGUAAAUAUUUGUCAUUUAUAAUUGGCUGAUUUGUAAUUUUAUCAAAUAAAUAACGUUAAAAUCAAUA